CCUACGGGAGGCAGCAGUGAGGAAUAUUGGUCAAUGGGCUUACGCCUGAACCAGCCAAGUCGCGUGAGGGAAGACUGCCCUAUGGGUUGUAAACCUCUUUUGUCAGGGAGCAACGCCGGCUACGUGUAGCCGGACUGAGAGUACCUGAAGAAAAAGCAUCGGCUAACUCCGUGCCAGCAGCCGCGGUAAUACGGAGGAUGCGAGCGUUAUCCGGAUUUAUUGGGUUUAAAGGGUGCGUAGGCGGAAUGCCAAGUCAGCGGUAAAAUCGCGGGGCUCAACCACGCUCCGCCGUUGAAACUGGCGGUCUUGAGUGGGCGAGAAGUAUGCGGAAUGCGGGGUGUAGCGGUGAAAUGCAUAGAUAUCACGCAGAACUCCGAUUGCGAAGGCAGCAUACCGGCGCCCAACUGACGCUGAAGCACGAAAGCGUGGGUAUCGAACAGGAUUAGAUACCCCAGUAGUC
rnacentral:rRNA from 1 species